rnacentral:rRNA from 1 species
UACGUAGGGGGCAAGCGUUGUCCGGAAUCAUUGGGCGUAAAGAGCGCGUAGGCGGCGCGGUAAGUCGGGUGUGAAAUCUUGGAGCUUAACUCCGAAACUGCAUUCGAUACUGCCGUGCUUGAGGACUGGAGAGGAGACUGGAAUUUACGGUGUAGCGGUGAAAUGCGUAGAUAUCGUAAGGAAGACCAGUGGCGAAGGCGGGUCUCUGGACAGUUCCUGACGCUGAGGCACGAAGGCCAGGGGAGCAAACGGG